AGAUUAAGCCAUGCAUGUCCAAGUACAAGCCUCACUAAGGUGAAACCGCGAAUGGCUCAUUAAAUCACACCUAAUCUACUGGAUAGUUAACAGGUACUUGGAUACCUGCGGUAAUUCUGGAGCUAAUACAUGCGAAAAGCCUCGAACUUACGUGAGAGGCGCUUUUAUUAGAUCAAAACCAAUCGGCUUCGGCUGUACUCUUGGUGACUCUGAAUAACUUUGGGCUGAUCGUAUAGCCUUGCGCUGACGACAUAUCCUUCGAAGGUGUGCCCUAUCAACUGUCGACUGUGGCAUAGACGCCCACAGUGGUUUUGACGGGUAACGGGGAAUCAGGGUUCGAUUCCGGAGAGGGAGCCUUAAAAACGGCUACCACAUCUAAGGAAGGCAGCAGGCACGCAAAUUACCCAAUGAUCGAAGAUCGAGGUAGUGACGAAAAAUAACGAUCCAGGACUCAUCCGAGGCCCUGGAAUCGGAAUGAGUACACUUUAAAACCGUCCCCGAGGAUCUAUUGGAGGGCAAGUCUGGU
rnacentral:rRNA from 1 species